GUGCACUUAGCAACACCUAUACUAAAAUUGGGAUAAUAUAGAGAAGACUAGCAUGGUCCCUGUGCAAGGAUGACAGGGAAAUCCAUGAAGCAUUCCAUAUUUUU
rnacentral:snRNA from 1 species